GACGAACGCUGGCGGCGUGCCUAAUACAUGCAAGUUGAGCGCUGAAGGUUGGUACUUGUACCAACUGGAUGAGCAGCGAACGGGUGAGUAACGCGUGGGGAAUCUGCCUUUGAGCGGGGGACAACAUUUGGAAACGAAUGCUAAUACCGCAUAAAAACUUUAAACACAAGUUUUAAGUUUGAAAGAUGCAAUUGCAUCACUCAAAGAUGAUCCCGCGUUGUAUUAGCUAGUUGGUGAGGUAAAGGCUCACCAAGGCGAUGAUACAUAGCCGACCUGAGAGGGUGAUCGGCCACAUUGGGACUGAGACACGGCCCAAACUCCUACGGGAGGCAGCAGUAGGGAAUCUUCGGCAAUGGACGAAAGUCUGACCGAGCAACGCCGCGUGAGUGAAGAAGGUUUUCGGAUCGUAAAACUCUGUUGGUAGAGAAGAACGUUGGUGAGAGUGGAAAGCUCAUCAAGUGACGG
rnacentral:rRNA from 1 species